UGUUUUAGGCAGAAAAAGGAAGAUGGAAGAAGAGAAUAGAAAGCCAUCUAUAUCUGCAGAGAAGAAUUGCAUACGGUCAGUGGCUUUUGUUUUUCCUCCCUCUAUCUUAUUUCAUUUUGAUUUUUGGUUAAUUUUUGUUGUUAGGGAUUAAGGAACCAAAUAUGGUUACCAAAAAAAAAAGAAGGAGAGAGAAGAAGAGAAGAGAAGCAUACGGGUGUCUGGCCGAGUGGUAUUUCGAGUUCAAUCGCUUACAAUUGGUCUCGGCUCAACAUGAAAACUGGUGUUAAGAUCAUUCACGCAAGGGUGUCUGUGGCUCAGUGGUAUUUUGGGUUCAAUCGCAUACAAUUGGGGAUAUAUUCUGAUACAGGAAAUCAAACUUGCAGUAAACGUAUGCCUGGAUCACUAGGACAUGAAGAACAAGAUGCACAAACAUUUGCUUCUUGGGU